rnacentral:rRNA from 1 species
GAUGAACGCUGGCGGCGUGCCUAAUACAUGCAAGUCGAGCGAACGGACGAGAAGCUUGCUUCUCUGAUGUUAGCGGCGGACGGGUGAGUAACACGUGGAUAACCUACCUAUAAGACUGGGAUAACUUCGGGAAACCGGAGCUAAUACCGGAUAAUAUUUUGAACCGCAUGGUUCAAAAGUGAAAGACGGUCUUGCUGUCACUUAUAGAUGGAUCCGCGCUGCAUUAGCUAGUUGGUAAGGUAACGGCUUACCAAGGCAACGAUGCAUAGCCGACCUGAGAGGGUGAUCGGCCACACUGGAACUGGAACACGGUCCAGACUCCUACGGGAGGCAGCAGUAGGGAAUCUUCCGCAAUGGGCGAAAGCCUGACGGAGCAACGCCGCGUGAGUGAUGAAGGUCUUCGGAUCGUAAAACUCUGUUAUUAGGGAAGAACAUAUGUGUAAGUAACUGUGCGCAUCUUGACGGUACCUAAUCAGAAAGCCACGGCUAACUACGUG